rnacentral:rRNA from 1 species
AUUGAACGCUGGCGGCGUGCUUAACACAUGCAAGUCGAUCGGUAACGCGGGGGCAACCCUGGCGACGAGAGGCGGACGGGUGAGGAACGCUUGGGAAUCUGCCUAUCAGCGGGGGACAACACGGGGAAGCUCGUGCUAAUACCGCAUACGCUCUACGGAGGAAAGCCGGGGACCGCAAGGCCUGGCACUGAUAGAUGAGCCCAAGCCGGAUUAGCUAGUUGGCGGGGUAACGGCCCACCAAGGCGACGAUCCGUAGCUGGUCUGAGAGGACGAUCGGCCACACUGGGACUGGGAAACGGCCCAGACUCCUACGGGAGGCAGCAGUGGGGAAUAUUGGACAAUGGGGGAAACCCUGAUCCAGCGACGCCGCGUGGGUGAAGAAGGCCUGCGGGUUGUAAAGCCCUUUCGGUAGGGACGAAAGCUCUCGACCUAACACGUCGGGAGGUUGACUUAACCUACAAAAGAAGCACCGGCUAACUCUGUGCCAGCAGCCGCCGUAA